rnacentral:rRNA from 1 species
UACGGAGGGUGCAAACGUUGCUCGGAAUCAUUGGGCGUAAAGCGCGUGUAGGCGGCUUUGCAAGUCGGGUGUGAAAGCCCUCGGCUCAACCGAGGAAGUGCGCCCGAAACUGCAGAGCUUGAGUACCGGAGAGGAUGGCGGAAUUCCCCAAGUAGAGGUGAAAUUCGUAGAUAUGGGGAGGAACACCGGUGGCGAAGGCGGGGUCUCUGGACAGUUCCUGACACUGAGGCACGAAGGCCAGGGGAGCAAACGGG